UUGUUAUUAACAGUUAUGAGGACUAAAGGAACACGAGUAAAUUCAACCACAACACCAACGAAAUUGGGCAGAAAUUAUUUAUUUAAAUUCGAAAUUGGUACUGAAAUUAAAUAAAAAUAGUGAAGAAUCGGACUGAAAAUUAACUAUAAAACUGGGAUAUGAACAAUGAAGAAAAAAAACAUUUAUGAAAUUGGCAGAUUUUUCCCCUCAACCUAAACUCCUUUUUAUUCUUCAAAUUUGAUUCCCUUGAUUGUGCCAAGAACUAAGAAUGAUUCCCUACCUUAAUUAAGGUAAGAUCCCACUAAUUGCACAAGCGAAUUGUGAAAUUACGAAAGUGAGAUCAGAUUGUAGAAUAGUCGUUACAAUUGUCAUGUUUGCCACGUCCAUGAUUCGAACCAUAAGAUUCAGCUCACCGCCACAGAUCCGACUUCCCCGACCACCAUCAGAACACCGCCGCCCCCUAAAACCACCAUUUGCAAUACCAUAUCUUUCUCCGACAAAGCAAUACGGCAAUGAUCUUCACCCAACCCGGAGCUCCACAACAAAUUCUCUAUUGAAUCGAUCUUCACACCAGUUUGUGUAACCUGAAUGGGUUUGGGAGGCGAUUUGGCAAUAAGUUUGUUGUUCUAGUUGGAAACGGGUGUUUCUCGGAGGUCAGGGUCGAAUACAACUUGGCUCGAAGAAUCGUCAAAAUUAAGUGAGGACGAGAAGGAUACGGAUGGAGUCAUGGAGAGGCGAGGGAUGCAGAGAUGAUCAGGUUGAGGAGAUGAUUAUCUGGAAUUUGAAGAUAUCCAUGAAUUCAAUACAGGAGUCUGAAUGUAUUAAAGAAAAUGGUGCGACAAUUUUAACCUUUAAUAUAUCAAAAAUGUUUAAUCACAAAAUAAAAAACUAUUUUUUUUACACAAAUUGGGUGAGUUAUGCCCCCCACCCAGACAGCCACGUUAGCAAUUGCUGACGUGACAGACUCAAUUGUAUGGAAUUAAAAAAAUUUAAUAGUUCAAUCAUCUGAUUGACAAAAUUGAAAGGCGAAU
rnacentral:lncRNA from 1 species